rnacentral:precursor_RNA from 1 species
UGCUCUCUGGGUUCAUGCUCUGGGUUUGAGUAUGUGCCGGUAAACCCAGUGAUGCCCAGGGGAGUGCC